rnacentral:rRNA from 1 species
UUGAACGCUGGCGGCAUGCCUUACACAUGCAAGUCGCACGGUAACGGGCCUUCGGGUGCCGCCGAGUGGCGAACGGGUGAGUAAUACAUCGGAACGUGCCCGAUCGUGGGGGAUAACGAGGCGAAAGCUUUGCUAAUACCGCAUACGAUCUACGGAUGAAAGCAGGGGACCGCAAGGCCUUGCGCGGACGGAGCGGCCGAUGGCAGAUUAGGUAGUUGGUGGGAUAAAAGCUUACCAAGCCGACGAUCUGUAGCUGGUCUGAGAGGAUGAUCAGCCACACUGGGACUGAGACACGGCCCAGACUCCUACGGGAGGCAGCAGUGGGGAAUUUUGGACAAUGGGCGCAAGCCUGAUCCAGCCAUGCCGCGUGCAGGAUGAAGGCCUUCGGGUUGUAAACUGCUUUUGUACGGAACGAAAAGCCUUCUUUUAAUACAGGAGGGUCAUGACGGUACCGUAAGAAUAAGCACCGGCUAACUACGUG